rnacentral:tRNA from 1 species
GAGAGUUGUGUUCUGUUGCUGCUAACAAUAGAGGGAACUUGGGGUUAGUUCGGCUCUCU